CCCAAAGCAAGAACAUUCCCCCCCGACCCCGAGCGCCGCCUCCGCCGGCCGCCGUUGCUGCCGUCGUCGACCACCUCCUGUUGCUGCCGUCUUAGAACACCUCGCCAUCUACCACGAAGCUGUUGGACUCCAGGCAAGGUGAAGCUGAGGAGGGAGCGCCGCGUCUGCAGCUGCUCGCCGUUGAGUCGAGGGUCGACCGCCGUCUCCACCUGCCCGUGUUCGACCACCUCCUCACCGUAUCGUCGACCGGAGAAGGCCACAAAGCUGGAGGACGCGGGGGAUGGAGCCGGUCCGGACGCGCCUGUACUUGCAUGCCGUCUCCUCUGUUCGAUCCUAUGCUCUCUGAUGAAGCUGUUGCUACCGGGCAAGACCAAUUCAUCUACCGAGUGAAAUGCAACUGCUUAGGAACUCUCACGGAGAAGAAGGGCAUGCUUUGGGAUAGAGAACAGAAGGCUGAAGGUUGCUGACCUAAAUGGUGAUUUCACCCUGUCACUGGCCAAGGAUUGCGUACCUUCGAACAAAGUAAACAAAGAGAAAACUUAUGAAAUAGGGACAACGUAUGAGACUCUGAGGG